AUAGUCGCAUUUGGGUUGGAAACAUGCACAGCUGAUUCUCCCUUUGUGUUGGCCUUUCAUUAACUGAAGCAGAGCAUUUAUAAACUGAUAUUGGCUAUCAUUAUUUUCAUAUUUACUGUUCUCCUAAGAUGCACUAUAUACUGCUGUGCCAUCAACAAGCCAAGUCAUUCUGCCACUGCCUGAAUCUCAGAGGUAGUGUCUCAUUCUCAAGAUGAGUGGAGCGAAAAAGGAAGGCAUCACCCCAGAGUUGUCCCAAGUAUCAGCUACAUGACUGAAGGUGGGUACUGUAGGAUGCCAACAACAAUCUGACAAAGGAUGUUACCAAAACAAAACAAAAAACACAAACAAAAAAACAACACUAAAACCACCAAAACAAGCACUUCUUGGUUUUUGGAGCUUUUUAGGUGGCAGAAUUGUGGGGAAAAGAUCAUGGACCUGUACACCCAAAUAAAACUAUGAAUUGAUUACCACCAA